rnacentral:misc_RNA from 1 species
GAUGAAGAACGUAGCGAAAUGCGAUAAGUAAUGUGAAUUGCAGAAUUCAGUGAAUCAUCGAAUCUUUGAACGCACAUUGCGCCCGCCAGUAUUCUGGCGGGCAUGCCUGUCCGAGCGUCAUUUCAACCCUCAAGCACAGCUUGGUGUUGGGACUCGCGUUAAUUCGCGUUCCCCAAAUUGAUUGGCGGUCACGUCGAGCUUCCAUAGCGUAGUAGUAAAACCCUCGUUACUGGUAAUCGUCGCGGCCACGCCGUUAAACCCCAACUUCUGAAUGUUGACCUCGGAUCAGGUAGGAAUACCCGCUGAACUUAAGCAUAUCAAUAAGCGGAGGA